AGGACUAGGGAACAGAGGAAGGAGCCCUGCCUGGAGAUCCACGAGCGCUAGUCGUGGCCUUGGCAGCGUUGGUUCAUGCAUCCUGCACACGCCAGCGGGCACUGAGUGCGCAGAGGUGAAACAGGUUGGCCUUUGCUCUCGUGGAGCUAGGGCUCUACUACCCUUGAGGACUGCAAACAAUUAGAGGGCACGUGAGAAGACAUGUGGUGUGGAAUUCUGGUAAGAAGAGUCUUGAUGGGAUUGAUAGAGACAACUCCUUAAUGAUGUUUGACCCACCUUUGAGACAAAUGGAAAGACUGGAGAUAAAUGCUGCCUGAGAGAAGAGCAUGACCAUACACAGGGCAACUCUGCAGCUGAUGGACUCACAGGGGGCUGGAGGCUGUCUGCAGACCAUUCUCCCCCUCGACUGAGGGGCAGGUUUUCCUUGAAGAGGGAUCUUGGUGACACAUCUCCACGUUCAUCAAAAUGAUCAGAAGGCUGAAUCAACAGCUCACUUGGAAUGUGAUUUAAACAUGUGUGCAGUGUACAGAUAGGACCAUCAGCCAGGAGACUCCAUGCUCUUGAACCAAGGGAUGUUUCUGUUGUCCUGCAGGGGCUAAAACACAAACUACAAGCUUUGCUGAGCCCACCUUUUUCUCUCUCCAUAAGUAUGAAGAUGAGUAUCAGAAACACCAAAAAGGAGACUGUGACGCUGAUGGAAAAGCUGCUACCUGAUAUUGCUGAGUGUUGUCCUUCUGAGAAAGAAGACACAUUCACAAAAACAGCACAAAAUGUAAACUUGGAGUCCGGUUUGGGGCUAUGAGCGAUUAUUUUCAUUUCAAUGGUGUCUUGUUCACGGACUUGACUUCUUAUCAGGGGAAGUGCUCUAGUCAAAUAAAUAUUUCCAUUAGUUUUAUUUACUAAAAAGAAAGGAGAUGGAGUUUCCAAAGAGUAAAGAAUAACUCCAUCAAUACCAGCAUCUGCAUCUGAUGCUUCCACUUUGCCAACCAACUGUCUUAUUUUAUUCUUUUCUGGAAGGUUGAAAAAAUAUUGAUCUUGAGUAAAAAUGGGUUCAAACUCAUCUAUCCCUUCAAUAUCCACCCAAACCAUUAAAGAGGCUGCUGAGUCCCCUUUGUCUUUUGCCUGAACUGUGAGGCAGUAUUUAUUGUCAUUUUCAUAGUCAAGGACUUGCUUAGUGUGAAUAUCCCCUGUUAAAGGGUCAAUGAGGAAGGGAUGAUGAUCACGAGGCAUCCCGUGAGUGGUGGAACAGGGCGAUAAAAUAGAAUAGGUCAAUUCUCCAUAAGGACCUGCAU